rnacentral:rRNA from 1 species
UACGUAGGGGCAAGCGUUGUCCGGAAUCAUUGGGCGUAAGAGCGUGUAGGCGGCCAGAUAAGUCCGCUGUGGAAAUCUCGAGGCUCAACUUCGAGCUGUCGGUGGAAACUGUCUGGCUAGAGUCCGGAAGAGGAGAAUGGAAUUCCGUGGUGUAGCGGUGAAAUGCGCAGAUAUCAGGAAGAACACCCGUGGCGAAGGCGGUCUCUGGGACGGUACUGACACUGAGACGCGAAAGCGUGGGGAGCGAACAGG